CCGACUGCCAGACUUUGGAGAGGCCAGUAGCUAUGUGGCCUCCGUCUGUCAACAGCAAGGAAAAAAGACUUCAGGAUCACAAAUCACUCAGACAACUUUGAGAAUCUUUCUUUGGAGAUGAACUCCAGGAUCAGCACCUCAGACAGACUACUGCUGAGUUAUGGGACAUAUGUAUGGGGCAGCACCAAAACAUCUGGAGUUAGAAGAAACAGGACACAUAGGCGGCAUCUCACAGGACGCAUAGGCGGAAUCUCACAUGUCCCAACUGAGUUCCUGGAGAGACACUGAUUCAGAAGCGAGACAAGGUCUACUGUGAACUCCACAGCUCUGCAGUGGACUCGAGACCUGAGGAAAUGGAGUGUUUGUAUGCGGCUUUGCAUUCCAG
rnacentral:lncRNA from 1 species